rnacentral:lncRNA from 1 species
AAAUUAGAAUCAACCACUAAUAUUACACAACAUCUCUUACCAAAUCAGAUCAUCUUCGAUAAGAAGAAUCACUGUCAACUAUUCCAGCUUGCACCAACCUCAUCAACUUUCCUGAACACUCCUCGACCACUGGAUCCUCAACUCUGUCUCCUCGCCUAGCAUUAGCCUUACUCACAAUCUCAAUCAAUCAUCUCAUCUUUAAGCCUUUCUGAAAUGGUUAGAAAGGAAUAGCAAGGGUGAGCAACAAUGCUCAGCAAGUAAUAAUAAACAAUGAUAGUUCUGAAAUGAUAUAAUAGAAGUUCACGAGUUCAAGAUAUAAGAGGAUUCAACCUGAGUUCAUGAGUUCAUGGUAUUGUAUAGAAUGAUUUACAAUACCUUGCAGCAUUUAAACUGAGAAAUUCAAUCUUUCCAAAGAAUUAUUGAAUUGGACUAUCACAUUUUAAUUAAAACCAAGGUUAGGCAGCUGAUCAGUUCCGCACUAACCCCGAGCAGGCCCCGCCAUGCUCUAUCACUGGAUCCAAGGCACUCAUUGGCCUAACAUGACCACGAAUCUGGUCCACAGGUUUAUAUAAAAACAAUAAUCCAAUUCUCUAAUUCAAUUCAAGAAGCCAAUGUAAAUUAACAGAACAUCAUCAUAAAUAUCAUCAACAACAGAAUAAUUCCAAUUCAAACUUUGAUAAUAAUCUAUUCAUAAAUCAUGAUCCAUCAUUUCAUAAAUCACAGUUCAGGAAAUCCUCAACUAUUCAGUAUCCUCCAUUAUCGGCUAAGCAACUGAAUUUAGCCUGCUAAACCAGCAUGACAAUGGCGGGUUGAAUAAUCAAGAAGAUCCCAAUUCAUUCAAAGCUCUAACUAUCACUGAGCAACACAUGCUUCAAUGACAAUCUGAACUUCGAAUUAAUUUGUAAAACGGAAAUUCUUUAGAAACUUGAAGAUUAGAAAGAAUGGGUCAGAAUACUCGCACUUUCGAACAUUGAAAAGAAAGGUAUGAAUACUUGAAACAUAUACCAAAGGAAUGGAUCAGAAUAUUUGCAAUAUAUCCAAGAGAAAGGUUUAGGAUACUUGCCUUAAAUCUGACUCCAGUCUCACAUCUCAAUCUCAUCUUUCCACUUUCACAAUCUAUGCAUCUCAUAGUCUCUAGACCAUCUCUGGCUAUACUCUAUCUACCGUACAUCUUCGCUUCGCUUACUCGAUUCAUCCCUUAUUCGCUUUGUAACACCACGUGACUUUCUGAACGUCUUCGGGCAUACACGUCUCGUCCAAAUCCUUUACGAGAAUAAGAUAACACUAUAAUCACUAAACAAUCGAUCGCAUAUACAUCUCACGUAUAUCAAUACCCACUUAUAUAUCCCUUUAAACUUAUCAGAUACCACGUAACACAUAAGCAUGCUUUAACUCUAACAUAUAGUCAAUCAUAUUCCACAUAACAUAUCACCAAUCAAUUAUCAUAUAAAUCCUUAUCGAAAAUCCGACAUCGUCUCGUCUAUGUAUAAGACUAUCCACCUAUUAUCCUAUCUCAAUCAUUAAUCAACCAACAAAAUCCAAUAGCUAUAAUCCAUAUAUUCUUAUCCAAUAUCAAUCAUACGAAUCAUUUAUCACUUCACAAUAUCAAAACUAACACGUACUUCACAUAAUCAUCACCUGAUAGCACUUAGAUCACAUAUUAUCACAUUAUGCAUACUUAUCAACAAUUAUUCACCUUAUAGACUCAGCCAUAUAGUCACAUCAUAUUAAAAUAGACGUUAUAAGCUUCUGUCUCUCUUUCGUUUCACUUGAUUCCGACUUACGGAUCAAAAGUUAUGCUCAAAACAGUUUUCUCACUCUCCUAUCGGCACAUAACACAUCCAACCAAUAGCAGACAACACACAACACAUAAGGUUUCCCAUCCCAAUUGAUAUUAAAUCAAGUCUUGGGUUAAAAAUGAUUUUUCGGGAAUUUUCCAGAAUUUUUAAACAUUUUUCGGAAUUAAAAUCGAUAAAAGAAUCACUUUUCGAAUAAAUAAUCAAGUCCCAAAUACUUGAAAUUGGACUUGAAAUCAUUCAUAAACAAUUAUCGAGCCUUGAAAAUAAUUUGGAAAAAUAUUUUAAAGCUCGAAACUAUUUUUCGGAAUUUUUAAAUCAAAAAGGAUUAAUUAAAUCCAAUUAAUUAAUCAAUUAAAAUCAAUUAAUAAUUAAUUAAAAUAAUUAAUCAAUUAAUAUUUAAAUUAAUUGACCAAUUAAAAUAAUUAAUUACUAAUUAAAAUUAAUUAAUAAACUAAUUUAGAUUUAUUUUUGAAUAAAGAAAUAAUUAAAAACUAUUUUUGGAAUUUAAAAUAAUUAAAUAAAACAAUUUUAGAAAAUUAAAUCAAAAGGUUUAUUUUGUAAACUUUUGAAAGUUUUGUCCAGGGUUUAAAGUGUAACUUUUCAAAGUUACAGGGGGUAAUUCAUAAGUUUCAAAACCUGAGUACAAAAACUUCAUCAUCUUCAAAACUUCGGUGACCAAACAGCAAUAAGCCGCCGGCCAUCACACUAACUUGCCGGAUUUUCGUUUCCAGGCGUCCUCCACUCACCAUCUACUCCAGAUCAGUAGUACACACACCCAUAAAUCAAUCCCCCAUCUUUAAUUAGGCAGAAGUCGCGCGAAUUCGCCGGAAAAUCCGGCCGAAGUCGGCGACUUCCCGCCGCCGAUGGCGGCGAUUCGAGCCACCUCCGCUCAAACCAAGCACACCAGCAUACUCCCCUUUCUCUCCUCUUUCUAUUCAUAUAUACCACUACUGCCCAGAUUUAGCGGAACCCAUUUUCCGGCCAAAAUUCAAACUUUUCCGGCAACAAGCUCAAGAACACCAAGAACACAAUUUCAAUAAUCAAACUGACUUUUCUACAUGUUAUUGAACUCCGUUUUUGACAUAUAAUAUACCAAAACGACGAGAAAAACAUGCUCUACAUCAUAGAAUCAUCAAAUCACAUAAACGGAAUCGUUUGCAAAAAUUCAUCAUUUAAAUCAUAUAAACUCGAAUUUUAGAAAAAUAAUCUAAAAUCACCUGUUGAAUCUGCAUAUAAACGGAUGAUUA